rnacentral:rRNA from 1 species
UACGUAGGGUGCGAGCGUUGUCCGGAAUUAUUGGGCGUAAAGGGCUCGUAGGCGGUCUGUCGCGUCGGGAGUGAAAACUCAGGGCUUAACCCUGAGCCUGCUUCCGAUACGGGCAGACUAGAGGUAUGCAGGGGAGAACGGAAUUCCUGGUGUAGCGGUGAAAUGCGCAGAUAUCAGGAGGAACACCGGUGGCGAAGGCGGUUCUCUGGGCAUUACUGACGCUGAGGCGCGAAAGCUAGGGGAGCAAACGGG